UUUUUUUUUUUUAACUUUUUUUUUUUUUUUUUUUUUUUUUUUUUUUUUUUUUUUUUUUUCUUUUUUUUAUGUUUUUUUUUUUUUAUAAUUCUCCUUGUUUUUUUUUUUUUAACUUUUUUUUUUUUUUUUUUUGUAAUUUUUAUUUUACACGUUUAGCUCAUUUGUUAUUAGCUUUCACGUUCUUUUUGUUCUUUGUUUUUUUGUCUUCUGUAUAGAUGCCUUGGGCUUAGAGGGGAUGUUAUAUAAUUUGGUUAUAUUCUAUGCUAUCUCUGUACUAAAGAAGAAUAUGAAAAAAAUUGUGUAACAAAAAAAAGGAUGUUUAUAAACCUCUUACUUACAACUUUUUCUUUUGAAACUUACACGCAUUAUAUGUGAACAUGUAUUUAUUUAUUGUUUAAUUUGUAAUACUCUAACAAGC
rnacentral:lncRNA from 1 species